GGCUGGCUCGGUGGGUCCCACUUACAGUGGGUACUUCCAGGCUGGCCUUUCCUUCUGGGGAACUUGUAUGCUCUUAACUGGGUGUGCAAGGGAUCCAGGACUUUUACUUUGAAAAAAUUAGAGUGUUUAAAGCGGGCAUUUGCUUGAAUACAUUAGCAUGGAAUAAUAGAAUAGGACUUUGGUUCUAUUUUGUUGGUUUCUAGGACCGAAGUA
rnacentral:rRNA from 1 species